UAAAAUUAUUCUAAUAAAUAAAUCUAAAUAUAAUACCAAUAAUAAUAAGAACGAAAGAAAUUAAUCAGCAAAUUAAACUUUGUUUACCCAGCCCUGCAUUAAAACAUCACAAAUUUUUGGUGUGGAUUCACUGUAAAUUUAAAAACAAUUAGUCUUCUGUCAAUCAUGUUGAUUUCAAAAUUAAAUGUAUUCACGUGAACACAAUGAAGUGCAAAUACGAUUGAAAGUUGAAGCCGCAACCAAACGCCCAGGAAAACGCACAGCGAUCAUCUCUUGGCAAACGAA